GACAAGAUGGCCGAGUGGUCUAAGGCGGCAGAUUUAAGCGGCCUUUUUGAAGGUACUGAAACUCUGCUAGUGGAAACACUGCGUGGGUUCGAACCCCACUCUUGUCA